AGAGUUUGAUCCUGGCUCAGAGCGAACGCUGGCGGCAGGCUUAACACAUGCAAGUCGAGCGGGCGUAGCAAUACGUCAGCGGCAGACGGGUGAGUAACGCGUGGGAACGUACCUUUUGGUUCGGAACAACACAGGGAAACUUGUGCUAAUACCGGAUAAGCCCUUACGGGGAAAGAUUUAUCGCCGAAAGAUCGGCCCGCGUCUGAUUAGCUAGUUGGUGAGGUAACGGCUCACCAAGGCGACGAUCAGUAGCUGGUCUGAGAGGAUGAUCAGCCACAUUGGGACUGAGACACGGCCCAAACUCCUACGGGAGGCAGCAGUGGGGAAUAUUGGACAAUGGGCGCAAGCCUGAUCCAGCCAUGCCGCGUGAGUGAUGAAGGCCCUAGGGUUGUAAAGCUCUUUUGUGCGGGAAGAUAAUGACGGUACCGCAAGAAUAAGCCCCGGCUAACUUCGCGCCAGCAGCCGCGGUAAUACGAAGGGGGCUAGCGUUGCUCGGAAUCACUGGGCGUAAAGGGUGCGUAGGCGGGUCUUUAAGUCAGGGGUGAAAUCCUGGAGCUCAACUCCAGAACUGCCUUUGAUACUGAGGAUCUUGAGUUCGGGAGAGGUGAGUGGAACUGCGAGUGUAGAGGUGAAAUUCGUAGAUAUUCGCAAGAACACCAGUGGCGAAGGCGGCUCACUGGCCCGAUACUGACGCUGAGGCACGAAAGCGUGGGGAGCAAACAGGAUUAGAUACCCUAGUAGUCC
rnacentral:rRNA from 1 species